UAAGAAGUUUCGUUAAUAACAUAUUUCUGGAUUGAAAUGCUCACCAAAGACAAAAAAAAAAAUUAAAAAAAAAAUGUUUAAAUCUUCAAUCUCAAACAGAUCCAAAUGUUCAACUAGUCUUUCUACCCUAAAACAAAAUAAUCCCAAAUUAAAUACAUUAACUUUUCUAAGCAGCAAAGCAAAAUGAACCAGAUUAAAACUUUAACCCUUUCUGUUCUGAUGGUGCAGGAACAUGUCCCGUCAUGUCAGAGCAGCGCUUUGCAAGCAGAAGGCACUUCUCCUGCAGACCAGAGCAAGUGGCGGGGGUGGCGGGGGAUUACACUGCAGAGCACCCUAACUUUAACUGAGCUAGCCAACCGCAUUGCACUACAUGGUGAGUCACUGUGAAGACUUCAACACUAUUGGCUCUUCAAAUGCAGCAACUGACUGUGGAAGUUAAAUUUUAGCGAAUCGUCACAAUGAAUAAGAUUCCACAUGAAUGGCACAAUGACCGAUACCAAAGAAUGGAUUUUUAAUAAAAAGCCAAGCUCUUUAAAUGAAUCCUGGCUGAGGGGUAGAUUCUGGCUCAGCUGUAAAUCCUCAAAGCCCGGCUCUGCCAUAGUCUCUCCCCCUCCUCCUUUCCCAGUGGUGAAGCAGGCAGGCUGUGGAUAUCAACAGGAAAUGAGCACGGGAGAUUAACUUAAUGGAGGCCCGACGGUGUUGCCUCUCAUCACCCAUCAAGGACGCACCUUUGCCAGCGAGACGAACAGCUGCACCGACGGGCCCCUGGGGCUGCUCUCAACCUCUACAGCUGUGCCGGAGGAUUUGUGUCACGCUGCGGGACUCUUGCAUGAUCUGUCAGAGAACGCGCUGAAUGUUGGUCGUCGUCCAUCUCUCCGAGCGCUCAGUGAUUGCUGGUGCCGCUUUGGGGAUUGGUGGCCGUUUGACCUUUGAAUGAAAGCGCUGAUCGGGGCCACUGAGUCCACUCUGGAUCAGUUCCAGAGUGCAUAUAGAUACAACAGUGAGGUCUAAUGCAACAGCACAACGCAGAUAGGGAGAAGACUUGUGGAGGAUUCAUUCACAAUGCUGCAGCAUAUUAAUUGAUCUGACUGCAGGCUCGUUCAUUAAAGAAAGGUAUACACAUGGAUGAGAGUUACUGUUUCAUUUAUAAAGCCUCACACUUUUUUUGCUAAUUGUAGUGAUUAGUUGGGUGUAAUAAAGUGCUUCAUUUACAUUAAUCGGGGUUGUUAAAGUGUCCUUAAAUCUAUUUUUGCUGAUUUGGAUCACAUUCUUUCUACCGCAGGACGGUGACACAUAAAAAGAGACUACUCAACCAAAAUUGCAUGUGUGGUAUGUGAACGAUAAACUCUAUUACUGACGUUUGUUUCCAGUCUUUUUGACAUCAUG